rnacentral:rRNA from 1 species
AAAAGCUUUCUUUAAUUGAAUAAUUGAAUUUAAUUUUUUAGUGCAAAAGCAAAAAUAAAAAUUAGGGACAAGAAGACCCUAUGAAUUUUUUAUUAAAUUUUAUAAAACUUUAUAUAAAAUUUAAUUUAAUUGGGGUGAUGGAAAAAGAAUAAAUAUCUUUUUUUAAAAAAAAAAAUUGGUUCCGUUUUUAGCGAUUAAAUGAAAAAAAUACUCUAGGGAUAACAGCGUAAUAAUUUUGGAUAGUUCAUAUAGAUAAAAUAGUUUGCGACCUCGAUGUUGGAUUAGGAUUCUUUUUUGGUGAAGAAGUUAAAAAAAGAAGUUUGUUCAACUUAUAAUUUCCUACUUGAUCUGAGUUCAAACCGG